rnacentral:rRNA from 1 species
GACGAACGCUGGCGGCGUGCUUAACACAUGCAAGUCGAACGACGUGGCGAACGGGUGAGUAACGCGUAAUCAACCUGCCCUUCAGAGGGGGACAACAGUUGGAAACGACUACUAAUACCGCAUACUUAAGGAGGGGAUUGCGUCUGCUUAUCUCGUUGGAGGGGUAACGGCCCACCAAGGCGAAGAUCAGUAGCCGGGCUGGUGGGAUGAACGGCCACAUUGGGACUGAGACACGGCCCAGACUCCUACGGGAGGGAGCAGUGGGGAAUCUUCCGCAAUGGACGAAAGUCUGACGGAGCAACGGCGCGUGAGUGAUGACGGCCUUCGGGUUGGAAAGCUCUGUUAAGCGGGACGCGGUACCGGAAUAGAAAGCAACGGCUAACUACGUGCCAGCAGCCGCGGUAAUAC